rnacentral:rRNA from 1 species
AUUGCAGGCUGCAACUCGCCUGCAUGAAGUCGGAAUUGCUAGUAAUCGCAGAUCAGCAUGCUGCGGUGAAUACGUUCCCGGGCCUUGUACACACCACCCGUCACACCAUGGGAGUCGGUAACACCCGAAGUCGGUAGCCUAACCGUAAGGAGGGCGCCGCCGAAGGUGGGAUUGAUGACUGGGGUGAAGUCGUAACAAGGUACC